rnacentral:rRNA from 1 species
UACAGAGGUCCCAAGCGUUGUUCGGAUUCACUGGGCGUAAAGGGUGCGCAGGUGGGUUGGCAAGUUCGAUGUGAAAGCCCCGGGCUUAACCCGGGAAUGGCAUUGGAAACUGCUGAUCUGGAGGAUCGGAGGGGGGACUGGAAUUCUUGGUGUAGCAGUGAAAUGCGUAGAUAUCAGGAGGAAUACCGAUGGCGAAGGCAGGUCUCUGGGCUGACACUGACGCUCAUGCACGAAAGCGUGGGGAGCAA